GCCAGUGUGGUGUAGUGGUUGAGUGUUGGACUAUGACUCUUGGGACCAGGGUUCGAUUCCCAGCUCGGCCA